GCCCCUGCAGUACAGAAAGGACCUGAGCUAAUCCUGAGAAGGCUUCAUAACUGCCGCAACCCCUGUUCCAGCUCAUAUGUGAAUAUGGAACAAGACUGGUUUGGAAUUAUCCUCUGCAAAAUAUUUUGUAUGUUCUUGAAAUCUGAACUAUUGACAGAAGGUGUUCAUAUCCAUGGUUUAUAAGGAAAUUUGGCAGGAGGAAGACGGAGCACAGAGGAAUGAGGGACCAAACGAAGAGUGAAAAGAUCAGCACCUCACAUUAAAGUGAAUGAAAAUGCA